AUUUAGAUAGUUUAAUAUAGAAUAAUAAUUUGUGGAAUUAUAGGUGUAAUUUACUCUGAAUU
rnacentral:tRNA from 1 species